AAGUCAUGAUGUGGACAUCUCCGAAAUAACUCUCUAAACCUUUCUCAUGUUUCAUAUAAUGAUUCAUCCUCUAGUUGACUAAAACUAGUUAUAUCUAUUCUAAACUU